UCUAAACCCCAGGAUCCCGGCGUCGGUAUUUCUGAUGGCAGUCCUGGGGGCAGGUUAGAGUUUGUGUGCAGGGGGUUACGUUUAGGCAUAAAAAGUAGAGUUAGGAAUUACCGUUAGGGGAAAAAUACUCCAGAGGAUUACAGCUCUGACCUAGAAGUCACAUGCACAUGACCGCCGACACCAAGAAGCAUUGCUGAAGCCACUGCAUUCGUCAGGAGCAGGGGUGCCAGUUGAAUGGAUCAAUACCUUUGAGAAAGCUGCCUGGUGCAAUGAAACGCGGUAGACUCCCCCACACUAGGUACUGGACCUCUUCACCUAGCACAACCCAUCUUUAUUGAGAGCAAAACUGGCAACAGUAUCCACUGUGAACCAGGAUCCUCAUACCACUGAUUGCCGUCGCUGCACAAGCUAAUUACUGCUUGGAUCCUUUGAUUUGGAACACAGACUGGUAAAGUGCCCUAUCAGCUGGAAUAUAUGUUUUUAUAUCAACAACAUGGCCAUUUACAGCAAAUUCAGUACCUUCUAAAUAUGCAUCUUUCCUUCCGCCUACAAAUCAUUAUCUCCCUUUCAAAUCGCUCUGAAGGGGAUAAAAAUAUGGUUGUCAGUCAUCUUCUCAGAACCUCAACAUGUCAUGUCUGUGAUGGCAGCGAGUGGAAGAGGAGAAAAGAGGAUAUUACAUGCAGACAGAGCUCAACGGGGCAUCUGAAAGGACUGUUGGAAUCUGGAGCAUCAGGAGGAGACUCAUGUAAAUACAGGAUCCACGCCUGGACGGAGUCAAACAGAAGCCGCAGCAGAAGGCAGCAAUGCUAACUGCUGUGCUGAGAACAUGGAUAAUGAUAGAAUGUUGCUGUAUGAUAAGCUUGGAAAUGGCCCUUUGUUUAUGCUGGUUGGUAGUUAUAAGAAGCCACAGAGAGCCCAAUAAAGC